rnacentral:rRNA from 1 species
UACGUAGGGUGCGAGCGUUAAUCGGAAUUACUGGGCGUAAAGCGUGCGCAGGCGGUUCGUUGUGUCGGUGGUGAAAGCCCCGGGCUUAACCUGGGAAUGGCCAUGGAAACUGGCGAACUGGAGUGUGGCAGAGGGGGGUGGAAUUCCGCGUGUAGCAGUGAAAUGUGUAGAGAUCGGGAGGAACACCCGUGGCGAAGGCGGCCAUCUGGACCAGCACUGACGCUGAGGCACGAAAGCGUGGGGAGCAAACAGG